AAGAGGCAGAAGCUAUGCUCAGCUCCUGAGGCCUUCCCUGCAGCCUGAUGGCUCUCACUGGCUUCUGCAAGAAAAUAUCCUCAUGCCUAGAUGCCAGCUUGUCACAGCUCAUUGCCACAAAGCUUUCUUGUGCUGAUGACUUGCUCAUCUCCACCAAACAUCAGCAUGUUCAGGAAAAUCCUCCACACCUGCCAUUCAGGAUGGAGCAAGGAGGCAGCUGGCACUGCUCUUGAUGUGCCCGGUGCCAAGCAAAGCCCUCAGUGGCUGGGGGAGGCUGCGGAGGCCCCAGCUGCAGGCAAGAGGCACCAACAGAGGCUGGAGAGCAGCUGAGCUGAUGGCAGGGCAAUGGGAGCAGGUGGAGUUGGUUACCCUGAUCAGGAGCUAUAUAACAGCCGGGGAGGGGGGAAUGGGGUGGUUUAGCUCAGCCCAACCUUGGUUUUGCUCUGGAUGUGAGGGGUCUGUGCUGGUUUCCAAUUGGUUGCUGAUGCAACUGUUGCUGCAGCAAGGAAAGUUGCAGCUGGCGUUGAUGAAGCUUAAUGAAGUUUAA
rnacentral:lncRNA from 1 species